GGGGGUAUGGCUCAGUGGUAGAGCAUUUGCCUAGCAUGUGCAAGGCCCUGAGCUCUAUCCCCA
rnacentral:tRNA from 1 species